rnacentral:tRNA from 1 species
AUUCUUUUAGUAUUAAUUAGUACAUCUGACUUCCAAUCAGACAGCUUUGGUAAAACCCAGAAAAGAAUA